UACGGAGGGUGCAAGCGUUGUCCGGAUUUAUUGGGGUUAAAGGGUGCGUAGGCGGCCCGGUAUGUCAGUGGUGAAAGCCUCCAGCUCAACUGGAGAACUGCCAUUGAUACUGCCGGGCUUGAGUACAGACGAGGUUGGCGGAAUUGAUUGUGUAGCGGUGAAAUGCAUAGAUACAAUCAAGAACUCCGAUUGCGUAGGCAGCUAACUAGGCUGUAACUGACGCUGAGGCACGAAAGCGUGGGGAGCGAAUGGG
rnacentral:rRNA from 1 species